rnacentral:rRNA from 1 species
UUCCAUUUGUUUUGGUUCACAAAACAGCGUCAAGAGGGUGGGGUCAAGAGGGUGGGAUCAAGCGUGCGUUCACAAAACAGCAUCAAUCUGCUCACUGUCCGAAACAAAUUGUUCUGCGUCCUUAGUCAAUGAAACCACUCUGCUGAGACGAAAGCUAGGGGAGCAAAUGGGGUUAGAGACCCCAGUAGUCCUAGGCAUAAACAAUGGAUACUAGGUGUUGUGCGACUCGACCCGUGCAGUGUUGUACCUAAUGCGUUAAGUAUCCCGCCUGGGGAGUACGUUCGUAAGAAUGAAACUCAAAGAAAUUGACGGGGGACCGUACAAGCGGUGGAGCAUGUGGUUUAAUUCGAUGCAAAGCGAAGAACCUUACCAAGUCUUGACAUGCCGCGAAUCCUCUUAAAAGAGAGAGGUGCCCUCGGGAACGCGGACAUAGGUGGUGCAUGGCUGUCGUCAGCUCGUGUCGUAAGGUGUUGGAUUAAGUCUCGCAACGAGCACAACCCUUGUGUUUAGUUGCCACUAUGAGUUUGGUUUGGAACCCUGAAUAGACUGUCGGUGUUAAGCCGGAGGUCUGAGAGGAUGAGGCCAAGUCAUCAUGCCCCUUAUGCCCUAGGCGACACACAUGCUACAGUGGGCGGGACAAAGGGUUGCGAUCUUGUGAGGGUGAGCUAACUCCAAAACCCCGUCCUCAGUUCGGAUUGCAAGCUGCAACUCGCCUGCAUGAUCGCUAGUAAUCGCCGGUCAGUCAUAAGUGUUAUGGUCUGGUGUCUAUGUUUUAGGUUCCAAAUAACAUUUUCGAGUUCCUUU